rnacentral:rRNA from 1 species
UCCCUACACGACGCUCUUCCGAUCUAAUGGAAAGGUUUUGGGAAAGCCUGCCAGAGAGGGUGAAAGCCCCGUACAUGAAAGACGAGUGAGCAUGGCAGUAUCCAGAGUACCACGAGACACGAGAAACCUUGUGGGAAUGAGCGGGGACCACCCCGUAAGGCUAAAUACUCCUUAGUGACCGAUAGCGCAUAGUACUGUGAAGGAAAGGUGAAAAGGACCCCGGGAGGGGAGUGAAAGAGAACCUGAAACCCUGUGUUUACAAGCUGUGGAAGCACGUUAAGGUGCGACCGCGUACUUUUUGUAGAACGGUCCGGCGAGUUGCGGAUGCUGGCAAGGUUAAGCACUAAAGGUGCGGAGCCGAAGCGAGAGCAAGUCUGAAUAGGGCGUCAAGUCAGCAUGUGCAGACCCGAAACCGGGUGAUCUAUCCAUGUCCAGGUUGAAGUUCCCGUAAAAGGGAAUGGAGGACCGAACGCACAUCCGUUGAAAAGGGUGGCGAUGAGGUGUGGAUAGGGGAGAAAUUCCAAUCGAACCCGGAGAUAGCUGGUUCUCCUCGAAAUAGCUUUAGGGCUAGCCUCGUAUUAGUCUGGUGGAGGUAGAGCACUGAAUUUCCUAGGGGGCGUCAAAGCCUACCGAAGAAUAUCAAACUCCGAAUGCCAUACAGAUGAUGUACGGGAGUCAGACGGCACGAGAUAAGUUGGGUCGUCAAAAGGGAAAGAGCCCAGACCUGCAGCUAAGGUCCCAAAGUGUGUGUUAAGUGGAAAAGGAUGUGGGAUUUCAAAGACAACUAGGAUGUUGGCUCAGAAGCAGCCACACAUUCAAAGAGUGCGUAAUAGCUCACUAGUCGAGAGGUCCUGCGCCGAAAAUGUCCGGGGCUGAAACACAACACCGAAGCUCAGGAAUGUAUUUAUACAUUGGUAGAGGAGCAUUCUUAAAGGGGCGAAGCAGUACCGAUAAGGAGCUGUGGACUUUUAAGAAGAGAGAAUGCCGGAAUGAGUAGCGAGAUGGAGGUGGGAAUCCUCCAGGCCGAAUAUCUAAGGUUUCCAGAGUAAAGCUGAUCUGCUCUGGGUAAGUCGGGGCCUAAGGCGAGGCUGAGAGGCGUAGUCGAUGGACAACAGGUUGAAAUUCCUGUACCGUGUAUCAUCAGAACUGUGGGGACACAGAACCGAAGUCAAACCCGGGAAUGAAAAGACCGGGGCAAGCGUAGGACUGGUUAGGCUGGCAAAUCCGCUUAACAACAGGAGGACGUGACGCGUAGCGAACAUUAGUAGCGAAGUUGGCGUAGGGGCUGUCAAGAAAAGCCGCUAUUGCGUGAUAUGUACCCGUACCGUAAACCGACACAGGUGGAUGAGGAGAGAAUCCUAAGGCCGGCGGGAGAAGCAUUGUUAAGGAACUCGGCAAAAUGACCCUGUAACUUCGGGAUAAAGGGUGCCCACGAGAGUGGGCCGCAGAGAAUAGGCUCAAGCAACUGUUUAGCAAAAACACAGGUCUAUGCAAAACCGUAAGGUGAGGUAUAUGGGCUGACGCCUGCCCGGUGCUGGAAGGUUAAGGGGAUCUGUAAGAGCAAUCGAAGCAGUGAUCUUAAGCCCCAGUAAACGGCGGCCGUAACUAUAACGGUCCUAAGGUAGCGAAAUUCCUUGUCGGGUAAGUUCCGACCCGCACGAAAGGCGUAAUGAUUUGGGCACUGUCUCGACAAUGCACCCGGUGAAAUUGAAAUACCAGUGAAGAUGCUGGUUACCUGCGCCAGGACGGAAAGACCCCAUGGAGCUUUACUCCAGCUUGAUACUGGGAUUCGAUAUUGCAUGUACAGGAUAGGUGGGAGACUAGGAAGCGGUGACGCCAGUUGCCGCAGAGUCGCUGUUGGGAUACCACCCUUGCAGUAUUGGAUUUCUAACCAGCAGCCGUGAACCGGCUGGGGGACAAUGUCAGGUGGGGAGUUUGACUGGGGCGGUCGCCUCCGAAAGGGUAUCGGAGGCGCUCAAAGGUUCCCUCAGAAUGGUUGGAAACCAUUCGAAGAGUGCAAAGGCAGAAGGGAGCUUGACUGCGACACCGACGGGUGGAGCAGGUACGAAAGUAGGACUUAGUGAUCCGGUGGUAUGAAAGUGGGAUUGCCAUCGCUCAACGGAUAAAAGCUACCCUGGGGAUAACAGGCUUAUCACUCCCAAGAGUUCACAUCGACGGAGUGGUUUGGCACCUCGAUGUCGGCUCAUCGCAUCCUGGGGCUGAAGUAGGUCCCAAGGGUUGGGCUGUUCGCCCAUUAAAGCGGUACGCGAGCUGGGUUCAGAACGUCGUGAGACAGUUCGGUCCCUAU